rnacentral:lncRNA from 1 species
CCCAACAGCGGCCACAGAAGCUGGAUCUGUCACCAGCAGAGGAAAACGCACCGAAAAAAAAGGAAGGGAUAAUCAGAUCUGAAAAGUAAAGAAAAAAAUUAAAAUCGACUGGAUGUGGGGUUUUGUUUGAGAUUUGCAGGUGACGGACAGUAGGGGAUUGAAGAGAGGAAUAAGCCAUUACAGCCCCCCCCAUUUUCGGUU